rnacentral:siRNA from 1 species
GAUAUGGUGAUGAAGUGUCUGUU